rnacentral:tRNA from 1 species
UAUGAAAUAGCUCAGUUGGUAGAGCGGCGUCAGACUAUAAAUCGAAAGGUCCUUGGUUCGAUUCCGGGUUUCGGCA